rnacentral:rRNA from 1 species
UACGGAGGAUCCGAGCGUUAUCCGGAUUUAUUGGGUUUUAAGGGUGCGUAGGUGGCCUGUUAAGUCAGGGGUGAAAGACGGUAGCUCAACUAUCGCAGUGCCCUUGAUACUGAUGGGCUUGAAUGAACUAGAGGUAGGCGGAAUGUGACAAGUAGCGGUGAAAUGCAUAGAUAUGUCACAGAACACCAAUUGCGAAGGCAGCUUACUAUGGUUUUAUUGACACUGAGGCACGAAAGCGUGGGGAUCAAACAGG